AGGGCUGUAGCUCAAUGGAAGAACAUCUGCUUUGCAUGCAGAAAGCCCCAGGUUCAAUGCUUGGCAACUCCA
rnacentral:tRNA from 1 species